AUUGAACGCUGGCGGCAGGCCUAACACAUGCAAGUCGAGCGAGCGGCGGACGGGUGAGUAAUGUGUGGGAAACUGCCUGAUGGAGGGGGAUAACUACUGGAAACGGUAGCUAAUACCGCAUCCCAUCGGAUGUGCCCAGAUGGGAUUAGCUAGUAGGUGGGGUAACGGCUCACCUAGGCGACGAUCCCUAGCGGGUCUGGGAGGAUGACCAGCCACACUGGAAUUGAGACACGGCCCAGACUCCUACGGGAGGCAGCAGUGGGGAAUAUUGCACAAUGGGCGCAAGCCUGAUGCAGCCAUGCCGCGUGUGUGAAGAAGGCCUUAGGGUUGUAAAGCACUUUCAGGGGGGAGGCGUUACCCGCAGAAGAAGCACCGGCUAACUCCGUGCCAGCAGCCGCGGUAAUAC
rnacentral:rRNA from 1 species